GAUCGAUGAACUGCUGCCUCC
rnacentral:miRNA from 1 species